GAAGACUGAGGAGGAGGAUAAUAAACUCAGAGCUGCUGUGGAAGCUUUUGGUGAGAGUAAUUGGCAGGUUGUUGCUGCUUCCCUUGAAGGACGGACAGUUACCCAGUGCUCCAAUAGUUUCCAUUGGAUUCUGACAGUUAUCAACAUCACUAAGGACUUAGUUUAUGUGUGGGACCCUCUUAAUCAUCGCAUUCGCGAUGAUGAUUGGAAGCGUGUUGUAGAAAUGGCUAUUAAAAUGGUUCAUGCAUCCACUACGAAUGCAAAGAAAGGACGCAGUAAAACUGCUUGGGAAAUUGUCAAGGCUCCUCGUCAACCGGAUAGUAACCAAUGCGGUUUCUUUGUCAUGGCGUACAUGAAAACUUUAAUUGAGAAUAUGCCAGACUUCGAUGAUAAAAAUUCUGUUCAAGCACUGUUUCAACAAGUUGAUUAUGACAAAG